CGCAUAGGCGGCCGUGUAAGUCACUUGUGAAAUCCCGGGGCUCAACUCCGGGGCUGCAGGUGAGACUGCAUGGCUAGAGCUUGGUAGAGGCGAGUGGAAUUCCCGGUGUAGCGGUGGAAUGCGUAGAUAUCGGGAAGAACACCGGUGGCGAAGGCGGCUCGCUGGGCCAAUGCUGACGCUGAGGCGCGAAAGCGUGGGAGCAAACA
rnacentral:rRNA from 1 species